rnacentral:rRNA from 1 species
GACGGAGGAUGCAAGUGUUAUCCGGAAUCACUGGGCGUAAAGCGUCUGUAGGUGGUUUAAUAAGUCAACUGUUAAAUCUUGAGGCUCAACCUCAAAAUCGCAGUCGAAACUAUUAGGCUAGAGUAUAGUAGGGGUAAAGGGAAUUUCCAGUGGAGCGGUGAAAUGCGUAGAGAUGUGGAGGAAUACCGAUGGCGAAGGCAGCCUCCUGGGCCAACACUGACGCUCAUGGCACGAAAGCGUGGGGAGCAAACAGG